GUUUUCAUCACCCAUCUGGGGGGGCAUUUUACUCAAUGGCUAUGUCGGAAAACUCAUGUUGACGAUCAAGAACAACCUCCUAACUGUCUGAGUAUAACUAUCUGACGAGACACUAUUGUGUUCGAACUUUUAUGAAAUGAAAUCAGCGAUUUCAUCAUCAUCACCCGUUGAGUUGAAGAAUCUUAAGAAACCCUAAUCCCCUUUCUCGCUCGAUUCUCCACCCGGAACCCAUCUCCGUCAAAUCCAUCUUCGUCCCCAAAUCGCCUCUCAGAUCGGACCAGCAGUCACCCCCGCGAACUCCGAUCGGCUUCGACCAUGGACGGCUUCCUCUCCCGACGCCUUGAUUGACAAAAGCAAUUUUCAGUUUAGAUUCGAGAUGUGUCAAGCUCUCUGCCAUGGCUGAAAAGCCAUUGAAGAAGCUGCUUCUAGGUCACUUUCUUGCACAUUGUAUCUCUUUUUAAAUGCUUCUGCUCAAUCUUAGGACAAAGCCUUUCCAUUGAUCUCUACCAGUUGGUCAACAACGGGGCCCACACAUGAAAUCCUUGUUCUUGUUUUUA